UUAAUAGUAUUUCAUGUAAGGUAUAGUCACUUUCUUCUCUGAGUUUAAAUUUUCCUAUACUUUCUUCUUCCUGAUGAAAAGACGAUCUCUAAGUCAUUUGAGUCCAAAGGAGGUAUAUAUUUUAGUAAUUAUAAGGUUUUCUUAACCUUUCUUAAGAAUAAGUAAAAGGUUUGAUAUGCGAUAUGGUUUACCUAAUCUAUAAGAUUUCUUGUAGUUCAAAACACAUGCAAUCAGAUUGCAUAUAAAAAGUGUGGAUUUGAAAUUGUUAAGGAUUGUAUCCUCCCAAGUGAUGUCCGGUAUCCUUAUUAAUUUGCUGCUAUCGAUAUAUAGAGUGGAUGAACAUGAUUUUCAAACAAUUUGGACUUGUCUAACCAACUUUAAGUAACGAAGUCUGAGUCAAGAGGAAAGUUUCAUUCAAACAAUCUGUAUCUGCAGCUAUUGAAGUCAAUGAUAGUGUAUUGUCCCAACUUAUAUGGGGCUUGGAACCUAAUCGAUCCUGAACUUCUAUUGUUCAAGUAUUUGUGUUUUUGUAACUUUAAAAAUGGAACAAGCCAGCAGUUAUUUCCGUUAACAAUCACGACCUAAUUGAUCCUGAACUUCUAUUGUUUAUUUGAUUAUCCGCAGAGAACAUUUUAUUCUUUGAAAAAGUUGCAUGCUAAGAAGAGGAAGAUUGUUGAUAGAAGAGCCUCUAAGAGUCGCAUGAUAAGGUAUCAAUAGAUUCUUCAGUUCCCUAUUUGAAAUUGCUGUGAUUUUGUUUUGGAAUAUCUUGGAGCACUGUUGAGCAAACUAGACCAAAUUGUUGAAGGCUUAUUGCAUUAUGCGUUUGCAGGUACAAUGUUUAUGAGAACACAUUAAAUUUCAUGGCUCCAAAGACCAUGGCCGUUUCUCCUAUGCUUCCUGAGCUCAAUAAUUUGUUCGGGUUGAAUAUGCAGAAACCAGCUUCCGUAGUGUAGUAGCGAUGCAAGGCUGAAUGAGCUGUAUAGUCCUUAGAUCUCAGGCUAAGAAAUUGUCUGCUUUUAAUUUAUUUGAUAUAUUAUUCUAAUAUUUGUUGUACUAAUAUUUAUGCAAUUUACACAUUUUUUCAAUGGGAGCCGAGCAUGAUUUUGUUGUAAAUGACAGUUAAUAUCUGUAAAUUUGACAUUUAUAAGCACAUAUGCUGUUUUUGCUUUCCCCGGUGCCGAAAUGUUUUCCACCAAUUCGAAAAAUUGAUUCUUGCCCGGUAUUGCGUAUGUCAAAGUCCUUUCCUUAUGUGUACAAUCAAUUUUUUUCUUCCAGUUAUUUACUGCUAGUAUACAUACAACCAU
rnacentral:lncRNA from 1 species